CAAAAACUGGCUCUUUAUCAAGGACUCAGGUUUUCCUCCCUCAGGAAUUCCCUGAGUCAGAAGCUCAAGCAAGAGGAGAAUUAGUAGAGUGGCUGCAGCAAGACGUGAGCUCAGGACUGAAGGCUGCACAGGUCCACCUGGGAAAACAGUGCAGACCUUAGGGCCCACGCUUUCAACAAGGGGUAUCAGAGCAAUGAGGCCAAGGUAUUCAGGGUUUCAUGAAUCAUCAUAUUUUUGUGCAAUUCUAAAUCUUCUAACCAUGCAGAAGGGGCCUACUUAGAGAAGGUCAGCUGUGCAAUUUGUUAAGAAUUAUUCCCAUAGCUGAAGUCUACGUGGAAAAAGUGCAAAGGACAAUGAAGAUUAAGCUGUCAUCAGGCCAAAAGAGUUGCCAAUUCUAGGUAAAAGUAUCACUCAAGGAGACCCCAUCAAGAUGGCCAGGUGCUUCUCUCCAAUUUAACAGAGAGCCCAAGAGGCUGGGUUUACAAUGGAAUGGAUAUCUAACCUGUUGACUGUCAAUUCUCAGCAUUGCUAAAACUUCAGAGUAUGAACGGGGAAUAACUAUCAAGAAUCAUCACUUCCAUGUGCAGUACAGAACAGCGAAGACAGGACAUUUGGGGCUCCUGACACAUCAGUCUGGGACUUUACAUGACACCCAGCUUCAAAUCCGAGUAGGCACAGCUCUUUCCAUUCUUUCAGGUUCAGAGCUGAAGGUGUGAAGAAUCUACUCCAAACUACAAAUUAUUUUGAAUUGGACACACAUGCCACGCAUUUAUGGACAGCAUAGCAUUUGGCACCUGUCACGUGGCCAGUCAACAAAUGCCAGAGAAAAUGAUUUUUACCCCCUCAGGCACUAUGCUACAGAAAAACCAUGAUGACAGUUUUUCUCUGGUAUUAUAUUUUGUGGGAGGAGAGAGGCUUAUUUCAAAUUAAUUUAUGAUGAUCUGUGAAAAGUGCUAGAAACAUGCCUCACUGCACCUAGAUGCAUGGUAUGCACCAGUCCCUUGUAAAAUCCAUUUGAGGGGCUCUCAGGGCAGGACAAUGCUCCCGUUCCUGGGCCAGGCUGCCAGCAUUAGCUACUGGUAUUCAGAACCAUGGAAUCAACUUAAGGAGUCAAAGAGACCUGUCACAUGCAGAGGCUUGGAAAGACAGCCCUAAAUGCCACUACCGUGUCUGAAGACUGCACCGAGGGAAUUUCAGUCCACCAGAGGUAUCACCUGGGCCAAUGCGCACAUGUUUUCCUAAAACAAACCAACUCCUUUUCUUUUACAAGAAACUCAUUUCUCAUUAUUGGAGUCUGUGCAGGGCCAUAGCCCGUUUUUCAUCCAGUUUUGCACUAACGUAACGCUUGUCAAUAGUCAAUUGGUCCCAUUUGAUCCAGGGCUUACACAUACCAAGGGACUUCGUUACAAUCACCCAAUGUGUCAGGCCCUGAUUAAAGUUGUUUU